AUGAACGUUGGCGGCGUGGAUUAGGCAUGCAAGUCGAGCGAGAACCCGCAAGGGGGACAGCGGCAAACGGGGUAGGAAUGAUUGGUGACGUACCCUCGGGACGGGGAUAGCCACGGGAAACUGUGGGUAAUACCCGAUAAUCUCCCAGGUUUGAAGACCUGGGUGCAAAGGUGUGAUUCCACCGGAGGAGCGGCCAAUCUGGUAUUAGCUAGUUGGUAGGGUAACGGCCUACCAAGGCUACGAUGCCUAGGGGGUGUGAGAGCAUGGCCCCCACCACUGGGACUGAGAUACUGCCCAGACACCUACGGGUGGCUGCAGUCGAGAAUCUUCGGCAAUGGGCGAAAGCCUGACCGAGCGACGCCGCGUGCGGGAUGAAGGCCUUCGGGUUGUAAACCGCUGUCAGAGGGGAUGAAGUAUCGGGUGGUAAUUCAUAAUCCAUUCGAUUUGACAGAGCCUCAGAGGAAGCACGGGCUAAGUAUGU
rnacentral:rRNA from 1 species